AUCUUUGUAAAAGUAAUGCACAUGAAGGCAGUGUGUUUCCUGAGUUACAGAGAUUCAUGAUAUGAAACCCUAUCCUCCCCCCAAAAUGCAAAAGAAAAAAGUAAAAAUAAUGCACCAUAAGUCAUCUCCAACAAAAAGCAAACCACUACCUAAGAAUUCUAGUUAUCCAAUUAACAUCUGUAUUAGAUUUAUUUUCCAAAGGGUCAGAUAUCAUUCCAAGAUACUGUCCUGACUAUAACUGAGAAAACAGACAUUUUCAAGCACAAACUUUUAUACAAAUUAUAUAAUAUGUACUUAAAUAUAUAUUGUAAAUAUGCACAUAUGUAUAUAAAAUUUAAGGAUCAUAUGUCUAUAUGGAUCGAAGAGCAAGGAACGGGGUGGGCAGGAUGGAAAUAGAAAAUGUAACUUUGUAGGAAAAACAGAUUUCCAGAUGUGCCAAUGAAGCAAUGCUAUUAUUGCUUAGUCUGAAAUAGCCUUCUUCGUGUCAAUAGAUGGUGGUCAAAGAGAUUUUGAACAAAAUGUAGAACAUUUAGGAUCUAACAUAAAUUCCUGUAUUGCCAUAUAGCAUCAGAACUUGUGAUUUUUAUGAUUUCUGUCAGUCAGAAGACAGAGUCACUUAGCAACAGAUGAUGGAAGAUAUAAAACUUGAAGAUGAAUGGAACCAAAAAAUCUUCUGAAAUUUUUAUGAGUAUCUAUGGAUUUCUUUAAGUAAAUACAUACAUAAAAAUAAGGUCACCACUGAGAUAGAUUAUAUACAAAUAUAAUCUUAAUGAGUUUUUUUCUAAGAAAAGAAUGAUACAUUCUAGGGGAAAAUUUUCUCUUAAGUAUCUUCAGUUCUUUUGGAAGAAAGUGCCAGGUCAAAUAUGAGCCUUUAAGUUUUUUUCAUUCAAGACACUCAUUACACUGAAUGAACCACAGAAUAUAAUUUAUCUUAUCCUAGAUUUUGGGUCCUGUUAAAAAUGUGAAAAAUACAAAAGGAUAAUUGGACUAUCAUUCAAUUAUUCAAGUACAUUAUUCUGAACAAAGGGUGGGUUGUGUUUAGUUGUUAAAUAUGAAAGUUUGGAUAUGAAUGGAAUAAAGAUAGGUCUUAUUUAAUUUGGGGGAGGGGUACUUUAGUAAAAUAUAUAUACACACACAUACUCAUAUACUAGGUAAAGCUUUUGGACCAGAAUUUAACUGUUAUCCUUUCAGAACCUGUGUCACUACUUCAAAAAAAUUAUGUAACCAGUAAAUGUGUCUUUUUUUCCCUUCUCACAGCAGCUGUUUCAAACACAAAUGGAGAAAUAAAUGAGAAAAAUUCCCUACAUUUAAAAUCCACCAAGAAGAGAAAAUCAGGGCGUAGUCCCAGCUAAACCUGGGAUUUUCCCAGGUUCCAUAGAUUGGCCCGAAAACAAGUGCAGCUGGAGCUCUCCUUCCUUUAGCAGUGCAAGUGCUGGCCAGAAAAGUUUCAAACACAUGGAGCUUAGCAAGACCACCUGCUCCUAACAUAGGACAACGGCCCCUGAACCACCAACUCCACUGCUUCUCUGCCAGCUCUCCUUCGCAACAGACGACAGGCUUUAUGCUAGAAGUUUCCCAGUAAAAGAGUAAGCUAAGAGAAGCUAAAGGUCACAUCUAUGACGGGAGCUCAUAAAUUAGGAGCGAAGUGGAUAGAUUAAAAAGCUGAAACUGAAGUCAGUCUAAUAGUAGAACCAAACAAUAAUUGCCUAGAUAUCAGCCCCGGCAAGACAGAGCUAACGUUCAGAUCCUCACUUGGCAAGGGCCUGGGCUUCCAAGUGCUACGGAGCCACCAAGAAGUAGAAAGGAACUUUGCCCAGCUGCUCAUGCAUCCCUGAAGCACGACCAAUCUCAGUGGGUAUGUGACAUCACCCAGGAUAGUUAACCUAUAAUCUCUCAAGGUCUCCACCUCUUGGCCCUCUCAACAAGAGAAGAGGAAUCACAAUGGUCAGGCUCCACUGCUUGCCCAGCUCUUCCAAAAGAGUUGAGGUCAACUAGAAGUUUGAAUUUCCCUGAUGUAAAUCUUUAGUCACAUAUGAGAUAGCAUGUUGAAUUGGUGUUCAAUUAAAGGGCUAAAAAGCAAUAUUUAAUAUUUUGUAGGUUAAGAGAAUUAAAGUUAAUAUCAACUAUUAGAAGAAAAUUCUCCAUUCAGUAACCUAUGUUAACCCACAUGGGGAAAUCAGUGAACAACGGUAUUUUAAAUGUUUAAGCUGUUAGAUCAUGACACGGUCUAGGUGGAAUCCACGAGGAGACAGAGGAAGUAACUGAAAGUCUUGGCAUCACACAACUUCCAUAAUGCGGGUCUUUUGAAAACUCUAAAUCCUUAUCCCUUGGGAUAAAUUUUUUUUAAGUUUUUAAAAGUUUAGAAAAUAACAUUUUUAAAUUUGUUCAAGGGUCUUCCUUGUUACAGUUAAAUCACUUCUUCAACAGAACCCAUAGAUAAAGUCAUAAAAUCAACUUGAGAAGAAACAAGAGAACAGAAGUGUUUGGAACAAAUAUAUUCCAAACUGCUUACAUCACUCAUGGAACAUCCAUAGAAUAGAAUACUAAGAAGUUGUGAUAAAGAACAAGGAAGAGAUCAUAUGCAUUGUUAUAGAGGAUCUCUAAUAUACAUUAAGUGAAAAAAGCAAAUGCAUAACUGCAUAUCACAUAUUGUCAUUUGUUCGGGGGAAUUAUAUUUGUGUGCUUUGACUCUUGUAUAUCUGGAGAAAUACAAAAAAGCUAGUACCAGUGUUUGCUUCUAAGGAGUGGGUGAGGGGCAGAGUUUCUUUUCACUAUCUAUGCUAGUUUAUACCUUUAGAAUUUUUAACUGUUAAGUAUUUGUGUGUAUUACUUAUCAAAUAAUAAACUUUAUCUCUCUCUUAAAAAAAAAAAAAAAAAGGAAGGCACACUCUCUAAAAAGUAAAAGAGCACUUCCGAGCAUAUUUCGGGUAAAUGGAAGAGGCCAUCAUGAAAAUCAUGGAAGAAAUUGUUGCCCAGCUGGAGUGGCUUAGUUGGUGGAGUGUUAUCCUGUGCACUGAAAGGUUGCUGGUUUGAUCCCUGGUUGGGCCAUGUACAGAAGGCAACUGAUAUUCUUUCUUCUCUCCUCUCUUCUUCAAACAUGUCCUCAGAAAGGAUUACAAACCUCCACAGAACCUGCUCUCUAUUAAAGUGGAGUGCUGUGCAUUCAUUGGCAAGAGGUGAAUUGUUUUCAGAUUACAUGCGAAAGAGUGUGUGUGUUUCUUUCCCACAUCAAAGACUUGGAUGGAAGCAGUUCUGAGUAUUGCCAGGGAUGCAAGAAUUGGUGCUAAAGUGAUUAACAAAAUUGCUUUCCUGCAAAAGAAGCACAAAACAUUACCUAGGGAUUAGAGGAGGAGAGGGCAAGAUUAAAGGUGAUGUUGAAUUUUGGAUGGAAUAUCUUAUCCAUCUUUUUCAAAUCAUGCUUCAAGGAUUCUGUGGCCCCUCCUUAAGGAAACCUGAACAAAUCCAAGUCUUGCUUUCUCAAGUUUUGUACACAGGGGUGCUGACAAGGAAAAAUUAAAACUACUCACAGAACCAGUACUCCCUUGUGACCUCCGUAUCUUUAUCUCACCACAAAUACAUUUUGAAUGUCUUUUAUUCAGCAUGCACCAAUGACUCCAUUGAUCAAAGAGUCUUUCAUUUGUAAUUGGUCUGCAUCCACCUGUUGCACUUAAAUGAUACUGUUUUAUAGAAUUUCUGGAGUUGAUUGGUUUUAGCAAAUCUUGAUUUGGUUCCUAUAGUAUCCCUUUUUAAACAUAUCUUUCACAGUCAAAAUCUUCAUCUAACCAAAAUGGGGUUUUUAUUAGCCAUAAAACCUAUAUUCUAUACAAUAAAGGAAAAAUCAUACAGCAAACCUCACAGUUUCUAGUUUAGGAAAUUAUUUUAUGGGGUAUCUCUGAAAUGCCCUAUGACAUGCUUUGUCACUUAGCAUUUUUUCAUCUCUUUCAAAAACUGAAUGUAGGCCUCUCUUCUUCCAAGAAGUCCUCCUGGCUUUAGUCUCCCAAACAGAGAUAGGCAAAAGCAUAUAGGUACAUGCAACUGUUAUAGUAUGAAUACAUUUUUCUUCCUCCAAAACAUUAAGUCCGAAAAAAAAAUCAAAUAUAUAUCUGGAUAGAUGGCAAAAAACAUAAAGUUGAAUGUAAUAAGCAAAAUAAAUAAAUUCAGAACAAUAUAUAAGUAUGAUACAAUUUAUGAAAAUUUAACACAAAAAAUAUCGUAAUUCAUAUGGUAUAACAAUGUAUACAUGUAUAUAAAAAUUCAAAAAUUUACAGAAUUAUGUAUCUCAAACUUAUGCUAGUCGCUGCCUCUGGGAAGGGGAAAAUGAGAUAGGGGGUGAGAGGGAAUUUUAGCUACAUUUCUAAUAUUUAUUUCUUUUCUUUUUUAUAUAAUAUUCUUUUAAAAGAGGGAGGAAACCAUUCAGCUUAGAUGACUCGCUUGGACAUAGUUAAGGGAUGUGAAGUAUCAUUGAAAUUCUUGUCUAAAAAACACAGCAGAGGUUUGAGAUCCCAACUUUGUCCUCAAAUUAUUCUUUCACAUAAUGUACAGACGUAUUUUUUUGUCAGACGCUAGUUACGUCUCACUUUCUUUGUAACAACAAUAAAACCUGUUUCCAACUGAUUAAAUAAU